rnacentral:lncRNA from 1 species
AAAGUCAGACUGCCAAAGAAGAACUGCAGAAAACCUAACAGACACCUGAAAAAUAGAAUUUGAGACUGUCAGUCUCGACAGUGAGUUAAAAUCAUAUAAUCCAAAAAUAAAUACAACGAUCUCAAUAAAAUAUUUAUUUAGUCAUAAUAGGGUAUUAUAUCAUAUUAAAACUUGUGUCAUGUCAUGAUUCAGGAAAAUACAAUUUAAACGUUUAUGAGUCGAGUACCUUAACAAAACUCUAAACUCCAAUCCUAUUAACAAUUGGCUCUUUUAUUCUAAUAAGACUGGCGCCUAGAGAGCAAAGCUCGACCAGAAUCCUUAAAUCCAGUCUAGUCAUUUAAUUUCUAAUAUAGCCAGCACCCAGAGAGCAAUGCUCGACCAAUGACCUUUUCUUCGGCAAUCAAAUUUUGAUAAGUCCAGAGAGUUAUACUCGACCAAGGCACAUCAAAAGAAUAUUUUUCUGUUACCUGUCUGUGAUUUAUACCGGUGUGCACGCAGUCCUGAUGCAACCUAUCAGGUGGGAUGUUCUACUACUGUCUCAUCCCAAGUCAUAAUACAAUCAUAGCUUUAAUAAUGUGAGAAAUGGCAUAAAUCGCAAGCAAUCUUAAUAUUAUUUAAUAAUUCAUUAAGUAUUAGAAUUAAAUAGCAUCGAGUAUAGCAGGCAUAAAUAUUAAAUGCAGUAUUAUCAAUAAUAAUAACAAUGAUAAAUAUGAUGGUAAAAAUAAAAUAAAUAAAUAAAUAAAAUAUCAAUAAUAAUAAACAUAAAAUUAAUAAUAAUAGUAAUGCUAAUAAUAAUCAUUGUGAUUAUUAAUAAAAACAUUGCAUUUAAAUUAGACAUGACGCAUGUGCAGUGACUAUAUGACUUUAACUCACAAAUAUGACGUUUUCCUAUGCGCUGCCCAUGCGUCCGAUGUAGCUACCUGAUGGGACGGAGAAUCUAAAAUCCACAAGUAAUAAUUAAUAUUUAUAUACAUACUAUAUAAAAUAGUCAACCUAAUUCUAGACUUCUAAGAAAUUGCGGGUUGAUCCUAUGAAAAUUUCGCUUAACAGCAUGAUCAGUGAUAGCAAGAUUUUAUCCGCAAUUAUAACUUAGGACCCCCUAACAUAAUAACGUAAUCAUCAAUUAAUAUCUUAAAUUAUUAUUCUCAACUUAAUAUCAUCAAUUUUUUGAUUAUAUAAUAAAUAAUAAUAUAAUUAUGAUAAUUAAAUUAAUACUUUCGAAAUUAAUAAAUCAACUAAACAUAAUAAUUAAAUCAAUAAGUUCGGAUUGAAAAUUUACUAUAAACUUAAUACAAAAUAGUGAAGCGAACGUCCGGAAAUGAAAAUCAAAAUUUCGCCCGUCGGCACGCAUCUAAAGGUCACCGGAAAAUUUUCGACGGUGAUAAAAAUUUGAUCCGAGCACACCAGAGGAAAGUCCACAAUCUCAAAAGUCCAGAUGUACAAUUAUUUUUACCAAAAAGUGGCCGAAAAAUCCUAUAUCGCCGUUGAAAGUUUUAACGCCAACGAGCUUUGUCAACGGUGCAACGGUAGAGAUCGGGGCUGAGCUUCACUGUCCUAAGGUUUUUCGAUAUGAGGAGCUCAUUUUUAGUGUCUGAUCGGCCAAAAGAGGUCGGCAAAAUGUCAAACUAGAAACGACAGUUGUGAGAGAUGUUUUCUCUCUCUUCGAAGCACGUUAAAUAACAACUAUUGAUGUUACUCGGCGUCGGCAAGGGGUGAAGCGAGGCAAUGAUGGCCUGAAAUGAGUGUUAGAUUGUAAAGGGGGCUGAUUGCAGGUGAAUGUGUGAAGAAAUGGGCGGUAGCCAUGGUGUAUGAGGAGAGAGAGGGAGUGAGGUAGGAGGAGGGGCCAAGUUGCAAUUUUUCUUUCUUUUUUUCUUUUCCAAAUUUCAGUUUUGUUCUUCUUAUAAGAAAAAGAGGC